CUACUAUCCAGCGAAACCAC
rnacentral:ncRNA from 2 species